rnacentral:rRNA from 1 species
UACGGAGGGUGCAAGCGUUGUCCGGAUUUAUUGGGUUUAAAGGGUGCGUAGGUGGCCCCUUAAGUCAGGCCUGAAAGCCGGCGGCUCAACCGUGGGGGGAGGCAUGAGACUGGGGGGCUUGAAGGGGGCGGAGGUGGCCGGAACGGGUCGUGUAGCGGUGAAAUGCAUAGAGAUGACCCAGAACCCCGAUUGCGUAGGCAGGCCACUACGCCCCCCUUGACACUGAGGCACGAGAGCAUGGGGAGCAAACAGG